UCCUGCAGAUGUAACCGCCUGAUGGG
rnacentral:piRNA from 1 species